GCAUUCACAUCACGUUGGAACACCGGUUCCCGUGCAAUCUUCGAAGUUAAGCAACGUCGAGCAUGGUCAGCACCUAGAUGGGCGACCGUUUGGGAAUAUCACGUGCUGUAA